AAAUCUUAACUGUUAUUCUCUUGUAUAAGCUCAUUAAUGGGUAUGAGCGUCUCGACCAGGCAACCGUAAAUUGCCCCAGGCUACAAGAGGCUGCAUAAAUUGG
rnacentral:ncRNA from 2 species